UACGAAGGGGGCUAGCGUUGCUCGGAAUCACUGGGCGUAAAGAGCUCGUAGGCGGCUUGUCACGUCGGGUGUGAAAGCCCGGGGCUUAACCCCGGGUCUGCAUUCGAUACGGGCUAGCUAGAGUGUGGUAGGGGAGAUCGGAAUUCCUGGUGUAGCGGUGAAAUGCGCAGAUAUCAGGAGGAACACCGGUGGCGAAGGCGGAUCUCUGGGCCAUUACUGACGCUGAGGAGCGAAAGCGUGGGGAGCGAACAGG
rnacentral:rRNA from 1 species